rnacentral:lncRNA from 1 species
GAGAAAUCUUACAGGCAAAGGCUAUUCGACAUUUGGGAUUCCUAAGCUAAUCUUUUUAUUUUUGGAAGGGUGUCUUUCUGAGAAAGGCAGCCAGAGGCACAGCACCAACCUUUCUGACAGUGUGGUCUUCACACUGUUAGUUCUGACAAAGGGAGUCAAGGAGUCGUCCUUGGAGGAGGCGAUGAGGCCAGUGGAAGAAUUGUGGCUGGGGACCCCUCCACUGCUGAGGGAGAUGUCGAUGGACUCACAGCUGGUGUGGAGGCUGCUGACAGACUGAAAGCCCAGGCCAUCCUUGCUAACUGCGGAGGAGCUGCUGGCGUUGGUGCCCCAGGGCCAAGACAGCCCCGGCCUCUUACCAGUUCCUGGGGUCUUCAGUGCGCCUGCCGGGGCUGAAGGCUUCGUCCUUGGCAUGGUGAUGCCCACCUGAGCUGUCAUGCCUCGCCGCCAUGAGCCUGUCUGGGAGAUGACAGGAUUCUUCUUGCCCGACGUGCUUUUGUCGGACUCGUCAGACACAUCAGAAGGAUUCCGCCUCCACUUGGAACCUGGCUCCAUUUUUAUGCCGCUGUCUGAGCCUCCGUCUGAUUUCUUGACAUCAUCACCAGACCACAGGGAAUUCCUCUCCACCUGUGAGUGCUUCUCAGCAUCAGUCUGUGGACAGAGACUCUCUGAAUUAGUCCUUCCCCAGUCCCAGGCUGGGAAGCCCCUCACUCCAAAGGCAAAAAUGCCAAAACACUGGAGUAGUUAAGGGAAAAAUAAGCAUUACUUUAAAGAUGUUUGGACUU